GCAGAUGUGUGAGGAAUGGAAACUAUGAUGAAGCUCUUGAUUUAGAAGCAUUUGUUUCCAAGCUUUCAGCAAUGCACCCCAAGUUACCAGUCAUUCAAGCCCUUGCUGCAGAAGUUCGGCAGACCACUCAAUCUCUUCUUUCUCAGCUUCUCCAAAGACUUAGGUCAAACAUUGAGUUGCCAGAAU